UACGUAGGGGGCGAGCGUUGUCCGGAGUCACUGGGCGUAAAGCGCUUGUAGGCGGUCCGCCAAGUUUGGGGUGACAGUUGCCGACUUAAUCGGCAAAGUGCCUCAAAGACUGGCGGACUUGAGGGCCACAGAGGGACAUGGAACUCCAGGUGUAGUGGUGAAAUGCGUAGAUAUCUGGAAGAACACCAAAGGCGAAGGCAGUGUCCUGGGUGGUCGCUGACGCUGAGAGGCGAAAGCCAGGGGAGCGAACGGG
rnacentral:rRNA from 1 species